rnacentral:misc_RNA from 1 species
UGACUUUUGGAAGCCCUCCAACAAAUUCUCUAAUAUUGGUGCCUCGUAGAGUUCAACAAACUUUUCUCGAAGUAUCCUAUUCAUUUCGUCAACAUCACAUGCAUGUGUCCAGUAUGAAUCGUGGACCCCUGCAAAAUUUAAACCUGCCCGUUUGCAGGCAACAGCAGUCAUCAUCAUGUGAGAGCCAUCAAGGGAGUGAACAAAGUUUGGGGGGAAAGCGGUUCUUUGCCGCUUAACCAUCACCUUGUCUGUUUCUCUUUGCAAUGCCAACAUCUGCAGGGACGUUUUAAUAAGAUGCCUUCCCAACUGUCUAUACGGUUGUACAACAGGAAGUCCAAGAGGAGUGGUCCAUCGAACAGGUUGAUUGUUUGAAGCUAUUACCUUUGCACAUUCACCAAGCCAGGCCAUGAUACUUCUAGCACCUUCAAACAUCUCUUCCAAAGCCAUCAAGGUGGUUUUUGCAGCAUAGCAAGAAGCAGGAUACAAAGCUGAAUCAUCUGCAAUGGUACCACGUUCUUUUAGCCUCCUUUUGAUUUGGUCACGGGCACCAAUAUAAGUGACACCAUACACAGAUGUCAUCACUGUCUGCUUCACCAAUUUCCUAUCCACCUGAUUGAUUAAAAGCUUAGCAUGCAAUGCAUUUGGAUCAGUUGCUGGAUCUUUUUCAGCAUCCCUCCUCAUUAUAUCAAGAACUCUGGCAGCAAUUCCUGAGUACACAUCUGCAGGUUUCUCUCCCCCAACAAGAUUAACCGCAGCUGCACCCAACUUGUCCCUUCCAAGGGCAGCAUAAUGUUGCAAACCAUUACAGGAACCAUCCUGAUGGACUGGCAUAUGNNGUGGUCUCUGGAGAGGAGCUUCUCAAUGCUUCUGAGAGAUUAAUACAUGUUGCCAAGCAUUGAAAAGGAUCCUCUGCGUCCAACCACCAGCGCCUUCCUUCAAGAGGUCGGUCCGCAGAAUCAAAAAUAUCAUCCAGAUGAUUCUCAGUAAAUGCCAUCCUCCCCUCAUGGGAUAACUUGUCUACCCCACCAGCAUAUACAUUUGCCAAAUGUAUCUUCAGCCAGCGUAAGCCAGACUUCCCAAGAGGUCGCCUCUCUGCAAACUCCAGAAUGCCCCGACAAAGAUCAGAGCCAAGAUGAUUCAAAUACGGAUGCAUGGGGUAAGCACGACCACGAAAAUCAAGGUUAUGAGGGUAGUAGAAGCCUUCCUCAUCCUUCAUCUUCCGAGCAACAGCAAGUUUAAGUUCUAUAUCACACCGCUGUGAAUGUCUCUCACUAUUUUCCUUUUUUACAUUUCUCACUUUCCACUUCCAUUUUCGAAUUUGAGUUUCAUCUUCUGUAUCUGGUUCCUCAGGCAGAGGAACAUCUUCACGCUCAACUAAACCAGCAAGAGCACCUCCAUUAGCCCAUAUUCUGUCAACUACUGCAAGAACCUUCUUAUUUACCCUCCAUUUGGUAUUUCCUAGCGUAUCCAGGGCCUCAAAAACA